rnacentral:rRNA from 1 species
UACGAGAGGCCCAAACGUUAUUCGGAAUUACUGGGCGUAAAGGGCGCGUAGGCGGCCUUCUAAGUCGAACGUGAAAUCCCCGGGCUCAACCCGGGAACUGCGUCCGAUACUGGAAGGCUUGAAUCCGGGAGAGGGAUGCGGAAUUCCAGGUGUAGCGGUGAAAUGCGUAGAUAUCUGGAGGAACACCGGUGGCGAAGGCGGCAUCCUGGACCGGUAUUGACGCUGAGGCGCGAAAGCCAGGGGAGCAAACAGG